AAUCAACGCUGGCGGCGUGCCUCAGACAUGCAAGUCGAACGAUUAAAGCUCCCUUCGGGGAGUGCAUAGAGUGGCGCACGGGUGAGUAACACGUAAGUAAUCUACCUUUGAGUGGGGAAUAACGUUCGGAAACGGACGCUAAUACCGCAUAAUGCAGCGGCAUCGCAAGAUGACAGUUGUUAAAGGAGCAAUCCGCUUAAAGAGGAGCUUGCGGCAGAUUAGCUUGUUGGUAAGGUAACGGCUUACCAAGGCUACGAUCUGUAUCCGGUCUAAGAGGACGGUCGGACACACUGACACUGAAUAACGGGUCAGACUCCUACGGGAGGCAGCAGUCGGGAAUUUUGGGCAAUGGGCGAAAGCCUGACCCAGCAACGCCGCGUGAAGGAUGAAGUAUUUCGGUAUGUAAACUUCGAAAGAAUAGGAAGAAUAAAUGACGGUACUAUUUAUAAGCUCCGGCUAACUACGUGCCAGCAGCCGCAGUAAC
rnacentral:rRNA from 1 species